CGGUUGAUCCUGCCGGAGGCCACCGCUAUUGGAGUACGCUUAAGCCAUGCGAGUCGAGAGUCUUAGGGACUCGGCGAACUGCUCAGUAACACGUGGAUAACCUACCCUCAGGAGGGGGAUAACCUCGAGAAAUUGAGAUUAAUACCCCAUAGGUUCAGCAUGCUGGAAUGCCGCUGAACUCAAAGCUCCGGCGCCUGAGGACGGGUCUGCGGCCUAUCAGGUUGUAGUGAGGGUAAUGUCCUCACUAGCCAGCAACGGGUACGGGCCAUGGGAGUGGUAGCCCGGAGAUGGACUCUGAGACACGAGUCCAGGCCCCACGGGGCGCAGCAGGCGCGAAAACUUCACAAUGCGGGAAACCGCGAUGAGGGUACUCCAAGUGCUAUUACAUUGUAAUAGCUUUUCACUUGCCUAAAUCGCUGGUGGAAUAAGGGCUGGGUAAGUCUGGUGCCAGCCGCCGCGGUAAUACCAGCAGCUCAAGUGGUGGUCGUUAUUAUUGAGCCUAAAGCGUCCGUAGCCUGACCAGUAAACCUCUGGGUAAAUCGGGGAGCUUAACUCUCCGACUUCCGGAGAGACUGCUGGUCUUGGGACUGGGAGAGGUCGGAGGAACUCUAGGGGUAGGGGUGAAAUCCUGUAAUCCUUAGAGGACCACCGGUGGCGAAGGCGUCCGACUAGAACGGGUCCGACGGUGAGGGACGAAGCCUAGGGGAACAAACCGGAUUAGAUACCCGGGUAGUCCUAGGUGUAAACGCUGCAGGNUUGGUGUUGGGGGUCUUGNNAGGGCGCCCAGUGCCGGAGAGAAGUUGNUAAGCCUGCCGCUUGGGGAGUACGGUCGCAAGANUGAAACUU
rnacentral:rRNA from 1 species